GACAUAGGUGGCGAACGUUAUCCGGAAUUAUUGGGCGUAAAGGAUGCGUAGAUGGCAGAGUAAGUUACUGGUUGAUGUCAAACUCAAUUUGCCGGAAGCUGGUAAUACUGUUUUGCUAGAGGACAGGAGAGGUUGAUGGAAUUCUGUGUGGAGCGGUGAAAUGCGUUGAUCUACAGAGGAACACCAAAAAAGGCGAAGGCAGUUAACUAUACUGUACCUGACAUUGAGGCAUGAAAGCGUGGGGAGCAAACCGG
rnacentral:rRNA from 1 species